GCUCCUUUCUCUGGCAGGGAAUGGACAUGCCAUCUGGCUUCCUGUUACGUAUGGAGGCAGAGAGAAGUGGGCCCUGGCUCCCAUAUCUUCAGUGCCAGUGGCUUCUCGUCUGCCUAGCCUAUCUUCAAGUGCUGGGACACAG
rnacentral:snoRNA from 1 species